AUUGAACGCUGGCGGCAGGCCUAACACAUGCAAGUCGAACGGUAACAGGAAGCAGCUUGCUGCUUUGCUGACGAGUGGCGGACGGGUGAGUAAUGUCUGGGAAACUGCCCGAUGGAGGGGGAUAACUACUGGAAACGGUAGCUAAUACCGCAUAACGUCGCAAGACCAAAGAGGGGGACCUUAGGGCCUCUUGCCAUCGGAUGUGCCCAGAUGGGAUUAGCUAGUAGGUGGGGUAACGGCUCACCUAGGCGACGAUCCCUAGCUGGUCUGAGAGGAUGACCAGCCACACUGGAACUGAGACACGGUCCAGACUCCUACGGGAGGCAGCAGUGGGGAAUAGUGCACAAUGGGCGCAAGCCUGAUGCAGCCAUGCCGCGUGUAUGAAGAAGGCCUUCGGGUUGUAAAGUACUUUCAGCGGGGAGGAAGGGAGUAAAGUUAAUACCUUUGCUCAUUGACGUUACCCGCAGAAGAAGCACCGGCUAACUCCGUG
rnacentral:rRNA from 1 species